rnacentral:rRNA from 1 species
GAUCAUGCUCAGGAUGAACGCUGGCGGCGUGCUUAACACAUGCAAGUCGAACGAAGCACUCUAUUUGAUUUUCUUCGGAAAUGAAGAUUUUGUGACUGAGUGGCGGACGGGUGAGUAACGCGUGGGUAACCUGCCUCAUACAGGGGGAUAACAGUUGGAAACGACUGCUAAUACCGCAUAAGCGCACAGGAUUGCAUGAUCCGGUGUGAAAAACCUCCGGUGGUAUGGGAUGGACCCGCG